rnacentral:rRNA from 1 species
GGUGAACGCUGGCGGCGUGCCUAAUACAUGCAAGUCGAGCGAACAGACGAGGAGCUUGCUCCUCUGACGUUAGCGGCGGACGGGUGAGUAACACGUGGAUAACCUACCUAUAAGACUGGGAUAACUUCGGGAAACCGGAGCUAAUACCGGAUAAUAUAUUGAACCGCAUGGUUCAAUGGUGAAAGACGGUUUUGCUGUCACUUAUAGAUGGAUCCGCGCCGCAUUAGCUAGUUGGUAAGGUAACGGCUUACCAAGGCAACGAUGCGUAGCCGACCUGAGAGGGUGAUCGGCCACACUGGAACUGAGACACGGUCCAGACUCCUUCGGGAGGCAGCAGUAGGGAAUCUUCCGCAAUGGGCGAAAGCCUGACGGAGCAACGCCGCGUGAGUGAUGAAGGUCUUCGGAUCGUAAAACUCUGUUAUUAGGGAAGAACAAAUGUGUAAGUAACUAUGCACGUCUUGACGGUACCUAAUCAGAAAGCCACGGCUAACUACGUG